rnacentral:rRNA from 1 species
AGUGAACGCUGGCGGUAGGCCUAACACAUGCAAGUCGAACGGCAGCACAGUAAGAGCUUGCUCUUACGGGUGGCGAGUGGCGGACGGGUGAGGAAUACAUCGGAAUCUACUUUUUCGUGGGGGAUAACGUAGGGAAACUUACGCUAAUACCGCAUACGACCUACGGGUGAAAGCAGGGGAUCUUCGGACCUUGCGCGAUUGAAUGAGCCGAUGUCGGAUUAGCUAGUUGGCGGGGUAAAGGCCCACCAAGGCGACGAUCCGUAGCUGGUCUGAGAGGAUGAGCCGCCACACUGGAACUGAGACACGGUCCAGACUCCUACGGGAGGCAGCAGUGGGGAAUAUUGGACAAUGGGCGCAAGCCUGAUCCAGCCAUACCGCGUGGGUGAAGAAGGCCUUCGGGUUGUAAAGCCCUUUUGUUGGGAAAGAAAAGCAGCAGGUUAAUACCCCGCUGUUCUGACGGUACCCAAAGAAUAAGCACCGGCUAACUUCGUG